rnacentral:lncRNA from 1 species
GAAAUUUGAAAAACGAACUGCGAAACCGGUUCUUGUGAGUCCCACUCAGUCAAGUCUAUGACUACACUCGAUGAGGGUCACCAAUCCUCACCUGGCUUCAAGCAAGAGAAUAUUUUCCCAAGUUCUUCCAACAUGAACAGCACAAUGGUUGGAUAUGUUUUCUGGUGGAACACUGCAAACAAACGACUCUGUUUGUGUGACGUGACAUUUGUUUAUAAUUUGCAGCAGAUGUCAAGACAAGGAGACAUGAGCAGAUAUAUGCACACACACACACACACACACACACACACAUAAAUGCAUACACAUACAAGUACAAAUGUAGAUAUGCAUACAUGAAUAUACACCCACAUGUAUAUACCAUAGACUUUAUCAGUUCCUGGUACGAAACCCACUCACAAGGCUUGAGUCAACCUGGAACAUUAGAAGAAGUUAAUUCUUUAAGGUGCUGCAAAGUGGGACUGAACCUGAAACCACAAGAUUGCAAAGUGAAUUCCUUAACCUUACAGCCAUGCCCCCAUCUUUUUUUGGUGAUAUUUUGAAGAUAAUAAUAAUAAUAAU